rnacentral:rRNA from 1 species
UACGGAGGGGCAUAGCGUGUUGGUGAAUUACUGGGCGUAAAGCGCACGUAGGCGGCUUUGUAAGUUAGAGGUGAAAGCCCGGGGCUCAACCGUCGAAUUGCCUUUAAGACUGCAUCGCUAUACUGUGAGAGGUGAGUGGAAUUCCGAGUGUAGAGGUGAAAUUCGUAGAUAUUCGGAAGAACACCAGUGGCGAAGGCGGCACUUACGU